AGCACAUGCGCAGUGACGACGAGGAGGCCGUCGGAAAGUAAGGGCCGGCCUGUGUGCGAGCUGGUUUCCGGAAGUGGUGCUGUGGCAGCAUGCUCGAGGAGCUGGGUUUAAUCGGGACCAUAGGCGAAGAUGACGAGGUGCCAGGGGAUCCUGAGUCUGACUCCGGAGACGAGGAAGAGGAGGGGCCCAUCGUGCUGGGCAGAAAGCAGAAAGCCUUGCAGAAGAACCGGAGCACUGAUUUCAACCCUGACUUCGUUUUCACUGAGAAGGAGGGGGCAUACGAUGGCAGCUGGGCCAUGGCCGAUGUCAUGAGCCAGCUCAAGAAGAAGAGGGCAGCCACUACAUUAGAUGAGAAGAUUGAGAAAGUUCGCAAGAAAAGGAAAGCAGAGGAUAAAGAAGCUAAGUCUGGGAAGUCAGAGAAGGAGAAAGAAGCAAAGGAGGGCUCUGAACCAGAGGAGCAGGAAGACCCUGAAGGGAAAGAUGAGGAAGGCCCAGAAGAUGAAGACUCAGAGACCGAUUACUCGUCAGCUGAUGAGAACAUCCUCACCAAAGCAGAUACACUCAAAGUAAAGGAGCGGAAGAAGAAGAAAGGACAAGAAACAGGAGGAUUUUUUGAAGAUGCAUCUCAGUAUGAUGAAAACCUCUCAUUCCAGGACAUGAACCUUUCCCGCCCUCUUCUGAAGGCCAUUACAGCCAUGGGCUUCAAGCAGCCCACCCCAAUCCAGAAGGCAUGCAUACCUGUGGGUCUGUUGGGGAAGGAUAUCUGUGCCUGUGCAGCCACUGGGACAGGUAAAACUGCUGCUUUCGCCUUGCCUGUCUUGGAGCGUCUGAUCUACAAACCCCGCCAGGCUCCUGUCACGCGCGUGCUCGUGCUGGUUCCCACCCGAGAACUGGGCAUCCAGGUGCACUCCGUCACCAAGCAGCUGGCUCAGUUCUGCAACAUCACCACCUGCCUGGCCGUGGGAGGCUUGGAUGUGAAGUCUCAGGAAGCAGCUCUGAGGGCAGCGCCCGACAUCCUCAUCGCCACCCCAGGCCGGCUCAUCGAUCAUCUCCACAACUGCCCUUCCUUCCACCUGAGCAGUAUUGAGGUGCUCAUCCUGGAUGAGGCUGACAGGAUGCUGGACGAGUACUUCGAGGAACAGAUGAAGGAAAUCAUCCGGAUGUGUUCCCACCAUCGCCAGACCAUGCUCUUCUCAGCCACCAUGACAGACGAGGUAAAAGAUCUGGCUUCUGUUUCCUUGAAGAAUCCUGUCCGAAUAUUUGUAAACAGCAACACGGAUGUGGCCCCCUUCCUGCGGCAGGAGUUCAUCCGGAUCCGGCCGAAUCGGGAAGGGGACCGGGAAGCCAUCGUGGCAGCUCUGCUGACAAGAACCUUCACUGACCAUGUGAUGCUGUUCACCCAGACCAAGAAGCAGGCCCACCGCAUGCACAUCCUUCUGGGGCUCCUGGGGCUGCAGGUGGGCGAGCUCCACGGCAACCUAUCACAGACGCAGCGGCUGGAGGCGCUCCGGCGCUUUAAGGAUGAACAGAUCGACAUCCUUGUGGCCACAGAUGUGGCAGCCCGUGGACUUGACAUCGAGGGGGUUAAAACGGUAAUUAACUUCACAAUGCCCAACACCAUCAAGCAUUACGUCCACCGGGUGGGGCGAACAGCGCGGGCUGGCAGGGCUGGGCGCUCGGUGUCUCUGGUGGGAGAAGAGGAGCGGAAGAUGCUGAAGGAGAUCGUAAAAGCCGCCAAGGCCCCCGUGAAGGCCCGGAUACUUCCCCAAGAUGUCAUCCUCAAAUUCCGGGACAAGAUUGAGAAGAUGGAGAAGGACGUGUAUGCAGUUCUGCAGCUAGAGGCCGAGGAGAAGGAGCUGCAGCAUUCAGAAGCUCAGAUCAACACAGCAAAGCGGCUCCUGGAGAAGGGGAAGGAGGCACCGAACCACGAGCCUGAGAGAAGCUGGUUCCAGACCAAGGAAGAGAGGAAGAAGGAAAAAAAUAACGAAUGUCUCAAGUGGAUUAAUGGAGAAAUAGUGGAACAAGCAUGUUAGUGAGAUGGAGAGGUAACCACCAGCAGAGGAUGUGAGUUGCUGCUUCUCAUUUUGAACUCUUAUGUACCAAUUUAAAAUAUGUGUACUUCUUUUAAAAAAAGAUGUUAAACAGUACCUGAAAUCUCGUACUCUCUCCUCAUUCUAGUUGCCAAGGCUCUGCAGGAGUUUGACUUGGCCUUAAGGGGAAAGAAGAAGAGGAAAAAGUUUAUGAAGGAUGCCAAGAAAAAGGGGGAGAUGACAGCAGAGGAAAGGUCCCAGUUUGAAAUCCUGAAGGCACAGAUGUUUGCUGAGCGCCUGGCCAAGAGGAACCGCAGAGCCAAGAGGGCCCGAGCAAUGCCUGAGGAGGAGCCAGCAAGAGGCCCUGCCAAGAAACAAAAGCAGGUGAAGAAAUCUGUAUUUGAUGAAGAGCUUACCAACACAAGCAAGAAGGCCCUGAAACAGUAUCGAGCUGGCCCCUCCUUUGAAGAAAGAAAACAGUUGGGCUUGCCCCACCAGAGACGAGGAGGAAACUUUAAGUCUAAAUCCAGGUACAAGAGGAGGAAGUAGCCAUGUUGGCCUGAAGUUCAUGGGGCAGCCCUUAGAUCCCUUCCUUGUGGGAAGUCAUCCUGGCUUGGUCUCUUCUCUC